AUUGAACGCUGGCGGCAUGCCUUACACAUGCAAGUCGAACGGCAGCACGGGUGCUUGCACCUGGUGGCGAGUGGCGAACGGGUGAGUAAUACAUCGGAACAUGUCCUGUAGUGGGGGAUAGCCCGGCGAAAGCCGGAUUAAUACCGCCUACGAUCCACGGAUGAAAGCGGGGGACCUUCGGGCCUCGCGCUUUAGGGUUGGCCGAUGGCUGAUUAGCUAGUUGGUGGGGUAAAGGCCUACCAAGGCGACGAUCAGUAGCUGGUCUGAGAGGACGACCAGCCACACUGGGACUGAGACACGGCCCAGACUCCUACGGGAGGCAGCAGUGGGGAAUUUUGGACAAUGGGCGAAAGCCUGAUCCAGCAAUGCCGCGUGUGUGAAGAAGGCCUUCGGGUUGUAAAGCACUUUUGUCAGGAAAGAAAUCAUUGACUCUAAUACAGUCGGGGGAUGACGGUACCGGAAGAAUAAGCACCGGCUAACUACGUG
rnacentral:rRNA from 1 species